GCAGGAUUGGGGUUCGAUUCCGGAGAGGGUGCCUGAGAGAUGGCAACCAUCGCUAUGGCGAGCAGCAGGCGCGCAAAUUGCCCAAUGCCGAUUCGGUGAGGCAGCAACGAAAAUUAACAGAGGCGGCGGACUUAGUCCACGUCUACUGUAAUGGGCUGUAUCUAGAAACACUGACGAGUAACAAUUGGAGGACAAGUCUGGUGCCAGCACCCGCGGUAAUACCAGCUCCAAGAGCAUAUAUUAAUGUUGCUGCGGUUAAAAAGCUCGUAGUUGGAUUUAGGGGCCGAGGUUGUGUGGGCGUGACUGGCGGCCUUCGGGUUGUCCACGAUCACCACUCUGAUCCGAGGCCCUUACAUCUUGUGGGAAUGGUUGCUGGUCGAAGCCGCCUUCACUGGCGGUGGAAGCCACUUUCGGAGUGACACGCUCCACAAGGCACGCCCACAGAUGUUACUGUGAGUAAAUCAGAGUGUUCAAAGCAACCAAUUUGCUGGUGGAAUGUUAAAGCAUGGAAUAACAAGGGAUCGACCGCUGUGGCCCCUUUUUGUUGGUUUUCAAGCCUCAGUGAGAUAACCUCGUACCUGACUUCUGCAGGUCUUGUUGGGUAAAACCACCUGGCCUGCAGAGUCAUGGUGCAAUCGGGAUCAAUAGGAGCACGGGGAGCAAUCAGUACUUUGGGGCGAGAGGUGAAAUUUAAUGACCCCCGAGAGACUAACAUCAGCGAAAGCAGUUUGCUAUCGUGCUUUCAUUAAUCAAGAACGAGAGAAAGGGGAUCAAAGAUGAUCAGAUACCGUUGUAGUCCUUUCCGUAAAUGAUGCAGACUUGGGAUCGGUCACCGCUCUUUUAUUGACGUGAUCGGCACCUCACUCCCUUGUCGAGAAAUCAAAGUCUUUGUGUUCCGGGGGGAGUAUAUUCGCAAGGCUGAAACUUAAAGGAAUUGACGGAGAACCACCACCAGACGUGGAGUGUGUGGCUUAAUUCGACCCAACACGGGGAAUCUUACCAGGCCAGGACGUGGUAAGGAUUGCCAGAUUGACAGCUCUUGCAUGAUCCCACGAGGGGUGGUGCAUGGCCGCUUCUGGUUGGUGGAGUGAUUUGUCUGCUUAAUUGCGAUAACGAACGAGAUCUCUGCCAAUAACUAGAUCGCCAUCCCGUUUUAGGCUACCCGCCUUCGUGGGUUCCCACGCAUGCGCGGGUGUGCCGAGGGGUGGCGAUUACUUAUUGGGAUUAUGCAACCACUCAAUUGCAUUGAAACGAGAGCCAAAAGCAGGUCUGUGAUGCUCCUAUAUGUCCUGGGCCGCACGCGCACUACACUGACACAGACAACGAGCUUCCGCAUGCGGCCUGCGUCGAAAGACGUGGGAAAUCUUUGAAGCCUGUGUCGUGAUGGGGAUAGAUCAUUGCAAUUAUUGUCCUUGAACGAGGAAUGUCUUGUAGGCGCGUUUCAUCAGAACGCACCGAAUACGUCCCUGGUUCUUGUACACACCGCCCGUCGUUGCCUGUAAUGGCUUGUGAGUAGAACCGUUUGGAGUGAACUGAGCAAUCAGAUCGCAAAAUUCGGUGAUACUUGCAAGCUAGAAGAGGCAAAAGUCGUAACAAGGUU
rnacentral:rRNA from 1 species